rnacentral:tRNA from 1 species
CUCGGAUUAGCUCAGCUUGGUAGAGCAUCUGGUUUGGGAGCGAGAGGCCGCAAAUUCGAUUUUUGCAUCCGAGA